UGUCCCAGCGGGGAAGUGAUGUUAUACCUUUAUUGCAUACCAUUUAUUACAGGUCCUUAGAUAAUACAAGAAACAUUUGACCUGAUUCCUACCUGGACGCAGAGAGAAACACAGCUCGUGUUAAGCAAUGGAGAGUUCAGAGGACACCACCGUUCCAUGCAUUCAAUCCGAGAGUUCGGAGGACACCACUGCUCUGAAAAAUCAAGCCGUAAGUGCAUAAUUAUUAAAAUUAACUUAUUUAUGUUAUUUGUAAUAGUCAGACUAAAUUUGCCAUGUUCCCCAUCCUCUACUUUGUG